rnacentral:rRNA from 1 species
CAGCCGCCGCGGUAAUACCGGCAGCCCGAGUGGUGGCCACUAUUAUUGGGUCUAAAGCGUCCGUAGCCGGCCUAGUAAGUCUCUCGGGAAAUCCGGCGGCUUAACCGUCGGGCGUCCGAGAGAUACUGCUAGGCUUGGGACCGGGAGAGGCCGAGGGUACUCCCGGGGUAGGGGUGAAAUCCUGUAAUCCCGGGAGGACCACCGGUGGCGAAGGCGCUCGGCAGGAACGGGUCCGACGGUGAGGGACGAAGGCCAGGGGAGCGAGCCGGAUUAGAUACCCGGGUAGUCCUGGCUGUAAACGAUGCGGGCUAGGUGUCGGGUGAGCUACGGGCUCGCCCGGUGCCGGAGGGAAGCCAUGAAGCCCGCCACCUGGGGAGUACGGCCGCAAGGCUGAAACUUAGAGGAAUUGGCGGG